rnacentral:misc_RNA from 1 species
UCCCCAAUAAGCACCUUCUUUGCACAUCUUUUUGAGCGUGUGCUCAAAAUUGCGAGUGGAAAUAUUCCCUCGUUUAACCACAUAGUAUGCAUCCUCUGCAAGAACUCUAGCAGCUGCAACAGUUCCGAUCUUCAAGAAACCAUCGACGGUGAGAUUGAGGAAGGGAUUGCCCAUGUCGAUUGCCACAUCAAUUUUGGGGGUUGAUAAAGAACCUGCAAAUCUGCUACUCGGCAUUUUCUUUUCUUCUCUUCUUCACUCACACACUCUUCAGCUCUCUCUCUCUCUCUCUCUCUCUCU